UUUGGUUGGAGCUCCCUAUGUACCUGAGGCCUUUCAAAGUCACACCUUUUGAAAUACGUGGUCUUAGCAAAAUCCAUUUGAAAUGAAGUCUCAGAGCUGACAAGCAGUGAUUUAUCACAGAACAGAACUGAAAGAGGACAUACAGUUCUAGCAGGAAGAGAUGCAAGAGAAUCCCAGCAAUAGGAAAGUGAUGAAGACCUGACUCUGAGUUGUUUUUGCCCUUAAGCUGGUUGCUCCUGCUUUCCAAACUCAGUGACUUUGAGUUCAUCUAUUUUCCUCAUGGUAGCAAAACCAGCAAAAGCAAAACUCAACACCAAACAGGACUGCCUUUCUGAAUAAUCACAGAUUACUUAGCAGUGUUCUGAAAAUGUUAGCAGAAAGGCAGGGCGUGUGGAGAACACGGAGUGCUGCACAGAACGUUAAUAUGUGACCUGUGACAGAGAUGCACUCAGGACCACUAAAAGCGUAAGGACAGGAAAAUGAAUGGUGAAGAAGAUGGCAAUCCUUUGAAAAAUUAAUCCUGGCUGAGUUAUUGCCUAAAGUAAAGCAUCAGGAGUCAAAAAGCUCUGACUGCAGAGGAGGAGGCACUUAGGCAUGAAUUUCAAAAUCUCACUUUUACCGUAUCUGCUGUAAAGCACUACGGAUGGAGCUGGUUGUGGUAUGAAGUGUUAAGCUGAAAGGCAUCCCAGCUUUUCUGAUGAAGAGGAAGGGAGCUGUGGGUAUUUAAUCACCCAUGGGUAGCCAGAAAUUAUAUAGGAAACUGUAAUGGAUACUGGCAUCUAUUUAAAAAAAAAAAAGCAUUGCAUUUUCCUUCCCCCUUCUGCACCUAUGCUGUGCGCCCCCAGCAUCAUCUGUCUCCCUGAGAGCACCGAUGUCCUCUCCAUUCCUUGAUUUCCUUUUAAUGAUAUAUUUUCGUUCUCCUGACAAAAGCAGAAAUCUUAUUAACAUCCUACCAACAUAACUUGAGUCUAUGCUUCUGUACCUCAGGCCAGGAGGUGCAGAGUCUCAACAGAACAUAGGGAGAAAACACACAGGAGCCUUUUUUUUUUUUACACUAUUUACACUGAGAUGGCUGGAUGCUUUGCCACAGCCCUUUACUGCCAUUCCUGGGGCUGAAAUCUGCACCUGGCAACUCUGAAGCCACCCAUUCCUAUUUAACCUCUUUUUCCCCUGGAUAUCUGUUUGAUAUCUGUACAGCUUAACUUUCUCAGG
rnacentral:lncRNA from 1 species